rnacentral:snoRNA from 1 species
UAGCAUGUAGCACCCCGGGCUUCUCCGAUGUUUCUUUUGCAAUGAGGAAAGAAGCCCCAAUGCUCGUGCAAUACCAAAUCGCCAUCCUGUGUUGCAGAUCUGGUUGUAAAACUCAUUUCAUUGGACCGAUCUGUGUCAAAGUGAUGGCAAUAAUA